UACAGAGGUCCCGAGCGUUGUUCGGAUUCACUGGGCGUAAAGGGUGCGCAGGUGGGUUGGCAAGUUCGAUGUGAAAGCCCCGGGCUUAACCCGGGAAAGGCAUUGGAUACUGCCGAUCUGGAGGAUUGGAGGGGGGACUGGAAUUCUUGGUGUAGCAGUGAAAUGCGUAGAUAUCAAGAGGAACACCAGUGGCGAAGGCGAAGUCCCUGGACAAUACCUGACACUGAGGCACGAAAGCCAAGGGAGCAAACAGG
rnacentral:rRNA from 1 species